UACGAAGGGUGCUAGCGUUGUUCGGAAUUACUGGGCGUAAAGCGCGCGUAGGCGGCUAUUCAAGUCAGAGGUGAAAUCCCUGGGCUCAACCCAGGAAUUGCCUUUGAAACUGUAUAGCUAGAGUGUCGGAGGGGAUAGCGGAAUUCCUAAUGUAGAGGUGAAAUUCGUAGAUAUUAGGAGGAACACCGGUGGCGAAGGCGGCUAUCUGAACGACAACUGACGCUGAGGCGCGAAAAGCACGGGGAUCAAACAGG
rnacentral:rRNA from 1 species